UCCUGGUUUAGCUCAGAUGGUAGAGCGACCGACCCGGGAAGCAGUUGGUCCCGGGUUCGAUCCCCGGACCGGGAA